UCAACAAUAUCGACUUGUUUUGCUUUGGUAUAUAGAAACUUUUAUUUUGUUAUAAUGGCAUGUAUAGGAUUCUUGGUUAAUUUGUUAUAUGUGUCAUUUGGCUAGCCAAUGUAAAGGCUUGAAUGAUAUACUUAUUCAUUUUGUAUAUGGCCAUAGGAUAUGGCUCAUUUUGAUGAAGGUUGUAAGCCUACUAAUUGUGCAUGUCAUGCUUGAAUGUUUCAUGAGAUGGUUAAUGUGAUAUACCAUGGAUGGAUAUGUGUAAUGUAGUUGAAUCACUUGG
rnacentral:lncRNA from 1 species